GCGGGGCGGUUCCUUAGGGGGCGGGCCCUGAUUGAGGGGCGGGGCCAGGGUGGGGGGGCCAGGAGCUUGGCGGAUCCUGGCCCAGGGCAGCUAGACCCACAGGAGGCCGUGUGGGUAGGAAGGAUGGCGCCCCCGGUCCGGUCCUGCUGGUGUCGCCACCCUGUCAUCCUGAGACGCCAGUGGAAUCCGUUGCCUUGCUGGCUGGGCAUGGAGAGCGCGGGGGAGUCCAGACACUGUGGUGUCAUUAGGGGGUCCCAACACUAACCAUAACCAACACGCCUGCUGUAAUCUCACCCUGGGAGACUGAGGCAGGAAGAUUUCAAAUUCGAGCCCAGCCUAAACAACUCUGCGACUUGGUGAGACCCUGUCUCAAAAUAAAAACACUGGGCGUGGUGGCACACGCCUGCAUUUGGAAGGCCGAGGCAGGAGGGUUGCUGAGAGUUCGAGGCCAGCCAGGAGCCAUAUUGGGGGUUAAAGACCACCCUUAACUACAUAGUGAAACUCUGCCUCAAAAACAAAAACCAAAAACAUUGAGAAGCAGGACAGAUGUAACUCAGUGCAAAGGGCCUGGGUUCAAUCCCCAACACCUGGAAGAAAAGAAAAAAAAGCCCAAUUUCCCUAAGCAAGUUACCAUUCUCCCUACUACGUCCUCUCUUCCAGGGCCGCGCCUCCACCAAGGUCUUCCAGCUGGGACAAAGAGCUUCUGCCUAACCCGUGUGCACCUUUCCAGAGCUGUUGAGAAGGAACCUAAAAACCACCUCCGGAAGCAGACUGCAGCGCCUCACAACCUGGGAGCACUCUUCGCACCCUUUGAACUAUUCUGGACCUUGCCUGCUCUGAAUUUAGAGAGAGCACAUUCUCCCAAUUACCCACAAUUGUUAUUAUUUUGAUUGUUGCAAAAUACACAGAAUUUACCAUUUUCAUCGUUUCCGCUAUGUCGUGUUGACUAUGUACACUGUGCAGCCUCGGCCACUGAGGAUCUCCAGGCUGUUCUCCCCCUGCUGCAGCCACCCCUAUGGGCCCACUAAACAUCCCACGGGAGUGGAACUGUACAGCGGAUGUUUUUGUGACCAUUUCACUCAGCAUCACAUCCUCCAGGCUUCUCCAUACCAGAAUUUCCUUUUCAUGGCUCAGUAAU
rnacentral:lncRNA from 1 species